rnacentral:lncRNA from 1 species
UCUCUUUAGCAUCCGGCGCUUUCUGAGUGCGCCCUGUACAGGUGCCAGGUUAGGAUGCAUGGAUAAAAAGGGACCAGUUUCUCCCGUUGGCUGCAGUCACGUAAACCCGACCCUGAGUGGCUGAGGGCCAGGGCACAGUGGCUCACCGCUACACUGAUCUGCAUCACUACAUUUUAUGUGACUAUUUGCUUGCUCGUGUUGCCCACUGAUGGUGGCGGCCCCAGUAGUUCCUGACAAACGCUAGGCUUAAAUAUAUGUAUGAUGUGUGGACUAAGUGUGUGCCCCAUCUCUGGAUUCAUUUGUGCUGCUGUCUCUGUGGUGCAGACAUAGUCCUUAGGCUGCACUUUGAGGCUCAUUUUCCUUCCUGGAGCCCUCGUCUUUCCCUUCAUUGUAUGGGAAAAACUCAAAGAGAAGUUUUUGGAGCUUUGAAACAGGUGCUUGGAGCCACAGCAGAAGCCACCAUACCCAGGACUUGUUCUCGGCUCUCCACUCCUAAAAAUGUCUGCAGGGGCGUCCCCUUAUCUGCGAUCCGAGGAAGGACGAUUUCUCCCUAGCCACCCCAGCAUAGCUCUUUAGUGACUCUGGCCUACGUGGGCUCCACUGGCAUACUGGCUUUGUAUGCUGGCAUGCCAGAACACAUGAUCGAGCAGAGACCACUAACAUUACUGCCCAGCACAGCUGAGUGAAUUUCUUCCUUCACACUCUAAGGACAGGACCGCAGCAUGGAAAAAGAAAACUGAAAGUUCAGUCCAUCUCCAGUAGCAUCUCAGGUGACCCAGGUUCCUGCUCCUUUGUUCUGGUUGCCCACAAACCAUACUGCACAGCCAAGGCCCUGUGGAUCCCUCCACCUUCACCAGUGACCCAGGUUCCUGCUCCUUUGUUCUGGUUGCCCACAAACCAUACUGCACAGCCAAGGCACCGUGGAUCCCUCCACCUUCACCAGUGACCCAGGUUCCUGCUCCUUUGCUCUGGUUGCCCACAAACCAUACUGCACAGCCAAGGCACCGUGGAUCCCUCCACCUUCACCAGAUGCUCACAGACCUACUUUCCAGAAGUUGCCAGACCUGACUGGUGAGAUGCCUUCCUCAGCUCUGCAGCUUUCCAGGCCCAUCCUUGAAUAGCAUCAUCACCCAAGAAAAGGAGCAGAACAGCUGCAGACCCUGAGCCCACUUCACACUGCUGUCAUCAGUUAGCUCCUGAGCUGGCCAACUAUCUACCACCUGAGCCCCGAGACACCCCUCUCUUCCUUCCCUGAAGACAAAUUGGCUGUCUCUCAGAGUUCUCACAGGGGCUAUCAGCACUGUCAGCAGCAUCACUGCAGAAUCCCUCUCUGCCUGGGACAGCAGCUCAGCCAGUCUUUAGCCUCUGAGGGUGAAACAAGUGAGCAGUGGGCUCUGGAAGGGGGAGAGAAGCUUACAGGGAAAAAGAUGUCCACCCUACAUAGACAACCAGAUUCUAUGAUUUGUCUCCUUAAUUCUGAGCACUCUUUCACCAGAUAGGCAUUCCUUUCUUGCUGGACACUAGCAGUGAAGACACUCUGGCCAAUUCAAGUGUGGUGGGCAUGGCUCUGGCAGUCCUUACCCUUCUCCCUGAUUCCCUCUGCCUUUCUAAAAACCAUUAGAUUAAAUUUCUAAAGCUAGCCACCAAGGUCUAUUUCCUCCUCUUGAGGUCAACCACCAAGGUCCAGCUAUCAAAGUAUUGAAGUCCAGCAAACAAAAGCCCCAUUUGGCUCACCUAAGUAACAUGCAAAUUAAAAUUAUAUAGCUCAUCCUAAAAUGCGGUUUCCCAUUUUACCCUAUUUUAUUUGUUUGUUUGUUUGCUUGCUUGCUUGCUUAUACUUAUCUAAUGAAUGAGUGAUCUGCUGUAUAUACAUCCACAGGCCAGAAGAGGGCAUCAGGUCCCCUUAUAGAUGGUUUUAAGCCACCAUGUCAGUGCUGGGAAUUGAACUCAGGACCUCUGGAAGAGCAGCCAGUGCUCUUAACUGCUGAGCAAUCUCACCAGCCCCCCAUCCUGGCUUUGUAAACCAUCAUUUACCCAUGAGCCUUGUCCGUCUCCCCUCUAUCCAGAGACAGUUUUUGGUUCCUCCUGGACAAAUCUUCUUACUCCCCUUUCCCUUACUCCUUCCCCUUCUCCUUUGUCCUCCAUCUCCUGACUUAUCCCCUGCCCUCUGUCCCUCUGGGGCAAAUAGAUCUUCUCUGUGCUGAGAACUUGGUCUUAGCAUGUAUUGAGUUGAUUUCAAAGUCCCUCUAUAACUGCUGCGCAUGGAAAAAAAUCCCAGAAGAAUUCUCUAUCAUAGUCCUUGUCUUUUCUUUAAGACCCUAACAGAACCAGAGAAAACAGGAAUAUCCAGAAAGAUGGAAGACAGAUAAGAAUGGGAGGAACAUUGAGUGUAUAAGAAAAGAUGGGAGGCAGCUAUCCAUCCGCAUGAUGGGCAGGCCUGCAGAAGGUCUUAAAUGUCUCACCUCUUAAGAUCCAUAUUAAAAGUGGGUUUUCUCACCUCAAAUGAUUUAUUUCAGAAAAACUCUUGAGGCUAGAGCAAUGGCUCAGGGGUUAAGAGCAUUGACUGUUCUUCCAGAGGACCUGAGUUCAAUUCCCAGUACCUACAUGAAAAUUUACUGCUGUCUAUAACUCCAGUUUCAAGGAAUCCAGCACCCUCACAGACAGACAUGUAUGCAAAGCAUCAAUCAAUGUUCAUAAAAUAAAAAUAAAGAAAAGGAAAAACCCUCACACAUGUACCAAGCUGCUUAGUUUUUAGUUAAUUCCAGAUGUAGUGAAGCUGACAGCCAAGAAUAGUCAAUACAGUGUCCCUGUCCUGUCCUCCAUGAUCUUCCCCUCCACACACCUCACCAAACUCCAGGCUCGAACCAGUACACACUUCUUAUACGACAACCCCCUGACUUCACUCCAUCUAAGUCCACCCAUCCUACAGGCCCAACCUGGCCCACACAUCCUGGGAUCUGCCCCUAACUCCUCUGUCUACAUCAGACACAGAACUAACCAAAAAAAAAAAGUUCACAUGCCCAGAUCUCAUAAUAAAAAUAUAAAUAAUUUGAAAACUCAAGGCAGUACCCUCACAAAAAUACCCGCCAAUACUAUAGAAAUGUUCACUAAAGAGAAUUACCCAAAUGAAUCCUCAUGACACAGAACUAAAAAGAACAUUCACAAACUUUGAGACACAGCAAGAAGGCCCUCAGCAGACCCAGCCCCUCUAUCUCAGACUUCCCAGCCUCUAGAUCUGUGAGACAUACACCCCUGUUUAUUGCAAAUUCACUCUCACAAAGCCCUCCAUUACACCACCACAGAUGGGACAACGGCCCCAGCCUGACCUCGCUCCUGAAUCAAUAUUCUCAUGUCAGCUCAGCAUUUCAUCUUGAAUAAACAUUCAAGCAAGCAUUUCUCAUUUAGUAUUUCCCAAACCACAGAGAUUCUCUUCCCCAACCUUUUCUUCUUCAAGUCUUCCCCCAUCUCACCAAGUGGUCACUCUAACCUUCUAGAUGUCCAGUUAUCUAAACUAAAAUGGGGGGGUUGCAGACCUUGACCCAAUCCAUGGGUUCAUUGGUAAACUCUUGGUAUUUCACAUGCAGGCUUUCUCCAAAAACCUGCCCUGCCUGCUUUCCACAGGAGAUUAAAUAAAGAGAUGUGUGAGACACUUGUUUCACUUUAUCUGACACAAGUGCUUCUCAAUAGAAGUAUCUGUUCCUUGUCCGAACUAAAGGGAACUGCAACCCUAUAGGUGGAACAACAAUAUAAACUAAUCAGUACCCCGGAGCUCUUGUCUCUAGCUGCAUAUGUAUCAAAAGAUGGCCUAAUAGGCCAUCACUUGAAAGAGAGGCCCAUUGGACUUGCAAACUUUAUAUGCCCCAGUACAGGGGAACGCCAGGGCCAAAAAGGGGGAGUGGGUGGGUAGGGGAGUGGGGGGGUAUGGGGGACUUUUGGUAUAGCAUUGGAAAUGUAAAUGAGCUAAAUACCUAAUAAAAAAUGG